rnacentral:rRNA from 1 species
UACAGAGGUCUCAAGCGUUGUUCGGAUUCAUUGGGCGUAAAGGGUGCGUAGGUGGCGCCGUAAGUCAGGUGUGAAAUUUCGGAGCUUAACUCCGAAACUGCAUUCGAUACUGCGGUGCUUGAGGACUGGAGAGGAGACUGGAAUUCAUGGUGUAGCAGUGAAAUGCGUAGAGAUCAUGAGGAAGACCAGUGGCGAAGGCGGGUCUCUGGACAAGUUCCUGACACUGAGACACGAAGGCCAGGGGAGCAAACGGG